rnacentral:rRNA from 1 species
UACGAAGGGGGCUAGCGUUGCUCGGAAUUACUGGGCGUAAAGCGCACGUAGGCGGUCUUUUAAGUCAGGGGUGAAAUCCCGGGGCUCAACCUCGGAACUGCCUUUGAUACUGCAAAUCUCGAGUCCGGAAGAGGUGAGUGGAAUUCCUAGUGUAGAGGUGAAAUUCGUAGAUAUUAGGAAGAACACCAGUGGCGAAGGCGGCUCACUGGUCCGGUACUGACGCUGAGGUGCGAAAGCGUGGGGAGCAAGCAGG